rnacentral:rRNA from 1 species
UACGAAGGGAGCUAGCGUUGUUCGGAAUUACUGGGCGUAAAGCGCGCGCAGGCGGCUCUUUAAGUCUCGUGGUCAAAUGCCGGGGCUCAACCCCGAGCGUGCCGGGGAUACUGGAGGGCUGGAGACAGGUAGAGGCAAGCGGAAUUCCGGGUGUAGCGGUGGAAUGCGUAGAGAUCCGGAAGAACACCGGAGGCGAAGGCGGCUUGCUGGACCUGGUCUGACGCUGAGGCGCGAAAGCGUGGGGAGCGAACAGG